CACGUAGGCGGACUUUUAAGUCAGGGGUGAAAUCCCGGGGCUCAACCCCGGAACUGCCUUUGAUACUGGAAGUCUUGAGUAUGGUAGAGGUGAGUGGAAUUCCGAGUGUAGAGGUGAAAUUCGUAGAUAUUCGGAGGAACACCAGUGGCGAAGGCGGCUCACUGGACCAUUACUGACGCUGAGGUGCGAAAGCGUGGGGAGCAAACAA
rnacentral:rRNA from 1 species